rnacentral:tRNA from 1 species
GUUAGGGAGCCUGAUGAAAGGGUCAUCUUGAUAUGAUGGAUUACGUGCACACCACCCCUAAUU